rnacentral:rRNA from 1 species
UACGUAGGGGUCGAGCGUUGUCCGGAGUUACUGGGCGUAAAGCGCACGUAGGCGGCUUUGUAAGUUAGAGGUGAAAGCCCGGGGCUCAACUCCGGAACUGCCUUUAAGACUGCAUCGCUUGAAUCCAGGAGAGGUGAGUGGAAUUCCGAGUGUAGAGGUGAAAUUCGUAGAUAUUCGGAAGAACACCAGUGGCGAAGGCGGCUCACUGGACUGGUAUUGACGCUGAGGUGCGAAAGCGUGGGGAGCAAACAGG